GACGAACGCUGGCGGCGUGCUUAACACAUGCAAGUCGAACGGGAUUUAGUAGACAGAAGCCUCGGCUAAAGAUUACUAAUGAGAGUGGCGAACGGGUGAGUAACGCGUGAGCAACCUGCCUAUGACAGUGGGAUAGCCUCGGGAAACCGGGAUUAAUACCGCAUAAAAUCGUAGAAACACAUGUUUCAACGGUCAAAGAUUUAUCGGUCAUAGAUGGGCUCGCGUCUGAUUAGCUAGUUGGUGAGAUAACAGCCCACCAAGGCGACGAUCAGUAGCCGGUCUGAGAGGAUGAACGGCCACAGUGGAACUGAGACACGGUCCAAACUCCUACGGGAGGCAGCAGUGGGGAAUAUUGCACAAUGGGGGAAACCCUGAUGCAGCGACGCCGCGUGAACGAAGAAGGUAUUCGUAUCGUAAAGUUCUGUCCUAUGGGAAGAUAAUGACAGUACCAUAGAAGAAAGCUCCGGCUAAAUACGUG
rnacentral:rRNA from 1 species